GAUGAACGCUAGCGGGAGGCUUAACACAUGCAAGUCGAGGGGCAGCACGAGGUAGCAAUACUUUGGUGGCGACCGGCGCACGGGUGAGUAACGCGUAUGCAACCUACCCUGUACAGGGGGAUAACCCGGAGAAAUUCGGACUAAUACCCCAUAAAGAUAUUUAGAGGCAUCUUUGAAUAUUUAAAGUUCCGGCGGUACGGGAUGGGCAUGCGUAACAUUAGCUAGUUGGUAAGGUAACGGCUUACCAAGGCAACGAUGUUUAGGGGUCCUGAGAGGGUGAUCCCCCACACUGGUACUGAGACACGGACCAGACUCCUACGGGAGGCAGCAGUGAGGAAUAUUGGUCAAUGGACGCAAGCCUGAACCAGCCAUCCCGCGUGAAGGAAGAAUGCGCUAUGCGUUGUAAACUUCCUUUCCAGGGGAAUAAAAUUUUGUACGUGUACGGAAUUGAAGGUACCCUGGGAAUAAGCAUCGGCUAACUCCGUGCCAGCAGCCGCGGUAAAAC
rnacentral:rRNA from 1 species